CAACUUUUGGCAACGGAUCUCUUGGCUCUCGCAACGAUGAAGAACGCAGCGAAAUGCGAUAAGUAGUGUGAAUUGCAGAAUUCAGUGAAUCAUCGAAUCUUUGAACGCACAUUGCGCUUCCUGGUAUUCCGGGGAGCAUGCUCGUUUCAGAAUCAAUAUGUUCUCA
rnacentral:rRNA from 2 species